rnacentral:lncRNA from 1 species
GGACUUUGAUGUUAGAACUUUGAUUGUAUAUGUUGUUGUGAUUAUGAUUUUGUUGGUGAAUUACCACCAUGACUCAUCAACAAAUUCUUCAUAUGACUACCAAAAAUAGAACCACCAAGAAGUUCUGGAUUAUUUGAUUAUGUCUUUGGAGGAAGUGGAAAUAACAAUGAUGAAGGUGAUAGUGGAAAUGGGGGUUUGAAUUGUGACCCUUUUAA